UACGAGUGCCUCAAGCGUUAUCCGGAAUUACUGGGCGUAAAGGGCGCGUAGGCGGACAGUUUAGUCAGAGGUGAAAGCCCAGGGCUCAACCUUGGAACUGCCUUUGAUACUGGCUGUCUUGAGUUCGGGAGAGGUGUGUGGAACGCCGAGUGUAGAGGUGAAAUUCGUAGAUAUUCGGCAGAACACCAGUGGCGAAGGCGACACACUGGCCCGAUACUGACGCUGAGGCGCGAAAGCGUGGGGAGCAAACAGG
rnacentral:rRNA from 1 species